rnacentral:snRNA from 2 species
GUGCUCACUUUCACAGCACACAUACUAAAAUUGGCAUGGUCCCUACACAAAGAUGUCACACAAAUUUGUGAAGCCUUUUAUAUUUAA